CUGAGGAAGACUCUUCCUUAUCCGUUACUGUCACUCAAUUUGGUGCUCUCGGGCAACUUUUCAUUCAGGAUCGAAACGAUCUUGCACUUUCUGGAGGAGUUGCUGCUUCAAGCUGAGUCCAGGACUAAGGAACACUACUACAAAAUUUGGGGUCAUCCUUUCAAGACAGAAAUGAAGAAAAUUUUAUUCUCUCAAAGGCCAUAAGACUAAGAGACACUAUUGGUCCAUCAUAUAGUGGAAAGUUGAAAUCUCUACUAUGACCAUCCACAGCUCCAAUC